UACGUAGGGGGCAAGCGUUGUCCGGAUUUAUUGGGCGUAAAGAGCGUGUAGGCGGUUCGGUAGGUCCGUUGUGAAAACUCGAGGCUCAACCUCGAGACGCCGAUGGAAACCCCCGAACUAGAGUCCGGAAGAGGAGAGUGGAAUUCCUGGUGUAGCGGUGAAAUGCGCAGAUAUCAGGAGGAACACCGGUGGCGAAGGCGGGUCUCUGGGCCGAUACUGACGCUGAGGAGCGAAAGCGUGGGGAGCGAACAGG
rnacentral:rRNA from 1 species